AGUUCGAUCAUGGCUCAGAUUGAACGCUGGCGGGAUGCUUUACACAUGCAAGUCGAACGGCAGCACGGACUUCGGUCUGGUGGCGAGUGGCGAACGGGUGAGUGGCUGACUGGAACGUGCCUAGUAGCGGGGGAUAACUACGCGGAAAGCGUAGCUACUACCGUAUUACUGCCCUUCGGGGAAAGCGGGGACCUUCGGGCCUCGCACUAUUAGAGCGGCCGAUAUCGGAUUAGCUAGUUGGUGGGGCAACGGCUCACCAAGGCGACGAUCCGUAGCUGGUUUGAGAGGACGACCAGCCACACUGGGACUGAGACACGGCCCAGACUCCUACGUGGGAGGCAGCAGUGGGGAAUUUUGGACAAUGGGGGAAAUCCCGAUCCAGCCAUCCUGCGGUGUGCGAUGAAGGCCUUCGGGUUGUAAAGCACUUUUGGCAGGAGAAAGAAACGGCACGGGAUAAUACCCGUGCAAAUUGACGGUACCUGCAGAAUAAGCAAUUCCGGCCAACUACGUGCCAGCAGCCGCGGUAAUACGUAGGUGUGUUAAGCAAUCGGAAUUACUGGGCGUAAAGCGUGCGCAGGCGGUUCGGAAAAGAAGAUGUGAAAUCCCAGAGCUUAACUUUGGAACUGCAUUUUAAUCACUUGUUAGGAGUGUGUCAGAGGGAGGUGGAAUUCCGCGUGUAGCAGUGAAAUGCGUAGAGCAUGCGGAGGAACACCGAUGGCGAAGGCUUCUGAUAACACACUGACGCUCUAUGCACGAAAGCGUGGGGAGCAAACAGGAUUAGAUACCCUGGUAGUCCACGCCCUAAACGAUGUCAACUAGCUGGGGCCUCGGGCCUUGGUAGCGCAGCUAACGCGUGAAGUUGACCGCCUGGGGAGUACGGUCGCAAAGAUUGGGAAACUCAAAGGAAUUGACGGGACCUGCACAGCGGUGGAUGAUGAUGACCUGAUGCAACGCGAAAAACCUUACCUACCCUUUUGACAUGUCUGGAAUCCCGAAGAGAUUUGGGAGGCGCUCGCAAGAGAACGGAACACAGGUGCCGUACGGGCUGUCGUCAGCUUCCGUGUCGUGAGAGCGUUGGGUUAAGUCCCGCAACGAGCUGUGGCAACCCUCGUCAUUAGUUGCUACGAAAGGGCACUCUAAUGAGACUGCCGGUGACAAACUGGAGGAAGGUGGGGAUGACGCUCAAGUCCUCAUGGCUCCUUAUGGGUAGGGUCACACGUCAUACAAUACCGGGACAGGGUCGCCAACCCGCGAGGGGGAGCCAAUCCCAGAAACCCGAUCGUAGUCCGGAUCGCAGUCUGCAACUCGACUGCGGCCGGAACUGGUAAUCGCGGAUCAGCAUGUCGCGGUGAAUACGUUCCCGGGUCUUCAUACACCGCCUGUCACACCAUGGGAGUGGGUUUUACCAGAAGUAGUUAGUCUAACCGCAAGGGGGGCGAUUACCACGGUGAUUCAUGACUGGGGUGAAGUCGUAACAAGGUAA
rnacentral:rRNA from 1 species